UACGGAGGGAGCUAGCGUUGUUCGGAAUUACUGGGCGUAAAGCGCACGUAGGCGGCUUUGUAAGUUAGAGGUGAAAGCCCGGGGCUCAACCCCGGAAUUGCCUUUAAGACUGCAUCGCUUGAAUCCGGGAGAGGUGAGUGGAAUUCCGAGUGUAGAGGUGAAAUUCGUAGAUAUUCGGAAGAACACCAGUGGCGAAGGCGGCUCACCUGGACCGGUAUUGACGCUGAGGUGCGAAAGCGUGGGGAGCAAACAGG
rnacentral:rRNA from 1 species